rnacentral:lncRNA from 1 species
UUAUUGGUCCUCAAAUUUGCAGGAGCUGCAGCAGCAUGAAAAGUUCCUUCAUCUAGCAUUGAAAUCGCUCGAGACCUGUAAUCCAAGCUUCUGUUCAUCCAGGUGAGUCCCGUCGCCAUCACCCUUUGGUUCAAGCCUCUUAAGCCCUUGUGUUUUUUGUGAGAUGCAGACAGUUUCUGUCAAGGGGCUAAGGUCUGAUCGUAUGCCUGAUCUUAAUCCGCAUUUUCUUUUCUUGUCAAUCUGCGAUGAUGAGUAAAUAGUUCUACGGUGCUUGCUUAUGAUAGCUGAUAACUGAUAUCUCCACAAAGUAUCAUGGACCUAGCAAACCCAUGGAAGCAUACUGAAUAAAAUCCAUGUUUUGAUUGUGGUAAAUUGAAGUCGCAUAUUCACACUGUUAUUUCAAAAAAUAAGAGUAGUGUUUGAAAAUUUAACAAUGGACAUAUUCUUUUGCUAAUAUUGGAAACUUACUAUAAUCAUCUAAAGAUACUUCUCCUGCUGAUACUACGCAUAAAUUAUGUACAAAGAGUGAUAUUCCUUUUAGCACACAUGGUCAGUCCUAACUAUGAUGAAAAGCUGAUCUCUAGGGCCAUAGCUCUAGAUGAAUAGAAAUAGGUUUCUUAUUCUGUAGUUAGCACUUUUGUCUAUUUUAUUUAUAUUAUAUAAAUAAUAACCAAUAGUAUAUGGAUGUAGUUUGUCUUGGAUGGUACUACUAUGCACACUAUGCAGCUAAGAAGUAAGCCUUUUGCUUUAUUAAUUAGUCAAUUUUUUGAUAACCUGUAAUUUUUCAAAUGUGUUACCUUCACUGAUAAACCUAUAACUUAUUUGUCCUCAAAUCUGCAGGAGCUGCAGCAGCAUAAAAAGUUCCUUCAUCCAGCAUUGAAAUCGCUCGAGACCUAUAAUCCAAGCUUCUGUUCAUCUAGGUGAGUCCCGUCGCCAUCACCCUUUGGUUCAAGCCUCUUAAGCCCUUGUGUUUUUGUCAGAUGCAGCCAUGGACAGUUUCUGUCAAGGGGCUAAGGUCUGAUCGCAUGCCUGAUCUGUACAACACAUUAAUCUUAAUCCGCAUUUUCUUUUCUUGUCAAUCUGCGAAGAUGAGUAAAUAGAAUCUUUUUGUAUGAAAAGAAGGAAUACCCUUGAUUUAAAUUGUUUAUUUAUUGGACCCUUACUCUUUGCUGCUGCAAGUAUACCUUUUAUUUUAAGCUACAUUUAUUCAUGCAGGUGCUUGCUUAUUAAAUAGAUUUUUUUGUAUGAAAAGAAGCAAUGCCUUUGAUUUAAAUUGUUUAUUUAUUGGACCCUUACUCUUUGGUGCAGCAAGUAUACCUUUUGUUUUUAGCUACAUUUAUUCACGCAGGUGCCUGCUUAUUAGAUAGAACAUCCCUUUUCUAUUCACGCAAGUAUAUUAUUGGUGCUGCAUCCCUUUUCUAUGUAUCAAGUGUUAUAAACAUGCCAUAAAAAUAAACUGGGUUUUUACUUUUUAGUGUACUUUGAUUUGAAUAUGAUAUGAAUUUAGUCACCUGACAUAUUUUUUGUAUGCAGUUGGAAUCAAGCAAAAAAGUAUGGGUUAAAGUAACAAACUAAAAUAGCUCUCAAGCUGGUAUUCUUUUUACCAAACUUUGUGGCUCCUUUUUACUCUUCUGUUAGCCUAUUACUAUAUUGAAUACUGUUUGGGGGUAAGAAUUUUGCAACUUAGUUUUGUUCACAGCCUUUGAUGUUUUCUACUACUUGUGACAAGAGACAACCUCUUCCACUAUAAAUUUGUUGAUUUUGCAGCCUGCCUGUGUUGCAUCUCUUCUUGUAAUGCUAGGCCCGGAAUGGAUCCAAGACAAAGUUUGAUAAGUUCUUAAGUUAGAACUAAAGUUCCAAAAACACCUGCAUAGCUGGUUGCAGCAGCUAGACAAAUUUUAUUAUUAACCUUUUUCUGUUGGUUUACUUGAGCAUUCACUACUUUGUGCUGCUACCUUAAUGAAAUGAUGCGCAGCUCUCCUACGUAGUUCGAGAAAAAAACUACUUUGUGCUAAAGAUUUUGUUUAUAUUAGUAACCUUAGAUAUCCUGCACACUUGAUCAGAUCCCUAGCCUUUUUAACCUAACACCAUAGAGGAUUGAGAUGCAUGACACCUUUCAUGUUUUCCAUCUUGUAGAGGGUUUCUAUAGACCAGGUUGGGUUCUAGCAAGGUUCUGAAAUAUAAGAAUAGAACCUUUGCUAAGAACGGAUGCAGAUGGAUGCAUAUUUGAGUUUCCUGCUUUCAUUUUAGGACAUUUAGUUUGUACUGGAAAUAUUAACUUUAUCAACUAUGCUCACUUAGUCAGAUUAUGGUAUUUUUUUGCUGCUUGGUGCUUAACUCAUCCAUUGAUUGUAACCACCAAACAAAAAAAAUACCUCAAUCCUACCUAUUGUGUAGACUGACCGCUCGCUCGGUGUCAUUAUUUGCUAGGCCCUAACUUGCCUUUUUGAUUCUCACCUAAUGGUUACUGUGUGAUUCACAGGCAUUUUGAUGGUUAAUUCAAUGGAAUAAAGUGGCUCUCGAGUACCAUUGGUUGACAAAACUAACACUAUUAAUGGAGGUAAACAAAAUAAAUCAACCUUUUACUAUAAUAUUAUUAAACAAAAUAAACGAACCAGUGCAAGUCCUAGAAGACACGUCAAAAACGGACCAGUGGAAGUCAAAAACGGACCAGUGGAAGUCAAAAACGGACCAGUGCAAAGAAAUCUUCAUAACUUUUUAAUCACAGAAGCUAUGAAGGCCCAUGAGGACUUGUUGGAAAGCGUGUCGAGUUUACUUUCCAAUGAAUCUAGUGGUGACCAGUUUGGAUACUCUGUUUUGCCUGCAGACCAGAAUUAGUACAGACUGCUCAGAAGGUCAACAGUCUGUCGUGACAGAAUGUUGGUACAAAUGGCCGUGCAAAACUGUACCAAUCUACAACGUUUCGUGGUGCAUGGCAUACAUUACUGGAAAGCUCUUGGAGUCUAGUUUCGCACCCAAGAAACGGUUCAUCAUUUGGACUUCCCAAUAAGAAGUUAUGGCCAGUUUAUUGGAAACUGCUCUGGAGGCCAAUAGUCACGCGAAGCCAGUUCGGGAGUCCAUUCCGAGAGGGCCUUUCACAUUGCCUUCCCUCAGAAACUCUAUUUCGUUUUCAUACCUAUAUAGGAGGGUUGUUCCUAGUAUAAAUAUCCCCUACCUCUAAGCUAUCAGCAACCUUUGAUGAUUUGAUAAACUACAUGAUGUUGCAGCCGUGCUGCUGAGUGCCUUACUCAACCUUUGUUCUUCCUUAUUCUUCUUGGACUUGUGAAGUGAAUCCUCUGGGUUCCCCUACUUCGUGCUCUACGGCUUCCGUUCGGCUGCGCCGUAUUGUGUGGAUUAGUUCUGGAUUGUGGUUCUGCGGUCGUUCGGAGAUCGAGUCGAAGUCUUCGCGGUUUCGGUGCCUCUCUCCCCGUUGCUUGGUCGCAUCCAACCUUUGUCAGGUAUAAAGCUAGUUACCCGCUGUUCGCAGCAAGUUAUCCUUGUUCUUUUGAUCUACUGUCGUGAAGAUCGGGCCACCCUCGUACCGAUUCAUAUCGGUACCCUAUCAGGUCUCCUCUAGAUAAUUCUGUUUAAACUCAACGUCUUCUGACCUUACAACUUCUCCUUCGUAGUCUGCCCAUCCGUCCUUGAUGAUUUGCCUCCUCUGGUUGCGGUUGCGUCGUCUUCUUCUUGUCCUGACCUGCUUAGAAUCUUCAACUAUAUAGUUAGAAUCAUUAAAGUAAUGGCGUACCUUCUCAGAGAGGAAAUACACGUGGACUUCUCCUCGUAGAUCCCGGUUCUUCACUUAAUGGAAUCUGGGAGUUGUAAAACGCCUUCACGUUUCUCAAAAUGUGUCCUGCUCAUAGAGACAAGGCAGAGAUCAAGUGCAUGGGCUCUGUUGGUGGAAAACACCAAGAGAACCAAAAGUGUAUUUGUUCUUUUCUAACCUUAAGCAUAGUGAGCAAGACAAAGUUGAUGGAUCAUGAGUGUAGCAUUUAAAACAUUUGUUAGAUCGGAUGGCUCAACCUAAUGGAAAGAUAAUCUAUCUAUAUUUAUGUUUUGUUUUUAUCUUCCAAAGAUUGAAUGUGCAACAUAUUAGCUUAUAUGUUUAGGAGCGUGGGAUUACGAAGGUAGUACUAAGAACAAAGAUUAAGGGACUAAACAUGUUGAAUCAGUUAGGUUGGUUAAUUUAGAGUUAUAAAUCAUACAUGUUUGUCUCUUUAUUUAUGUGAACGCCAGAACCAAGGAGAAACUUAUAAAAGGAUAGUCAAGUACCUUAAGAUGUUACCUUUGAAGAGUGAUGGUACAGUAUCACCUUGUAGAAGCUUUCCUUUCUAGCGGUUGUGCAUCGUGUUUGUGGCUCCCUCCAUGGAUCAUCUCUUAUGAGCUACGUCUUUCUUGUGCAAAUUGUUAAACUUCAUGUGUCACUUUCUUCAUCUCCAAUGUGAGUUUAUCUCAGGACUUCCCAGGUUGAUAUUGAAAGUUUUCCUGCAGGGGUUAGUCCCACAAAAUAUACCAAUGUCUACACAAGCAAUUUUUAGUUCGAUAACCGAACUAGACUCCAUGUCUAAUUAGAAUAAGGAAGGCUGUUUAACCUAAGCACCAUGCUUAAUUUAAAAGCCAAUAGAACUAUGUGCAGUACUUCCAAACUAACACUUACUAGGAUAAACAAAGGUAGCGUGAUGGCAUUUAUAGAGAUCUACUUAAGUGGAGAUGAAGUAGUGUGAUUAGUAUUUAACAAAUUGAGCAUGUCUCAAAGGUAAGGACAACCAACAUAGCAACAUGGCAAAGGAUGUUUUUAUGUGAAGUACUCCCCUAAUCUUGAAUUUUGCAAAAUUCAAGAUUGGAUGAAUUUAAUUCAAUGUUGCAUGUUGAUUGGUUGGGCAUACCUUGCGCUUGUCAUUUAUCCGGUCUUCUUGCUCUAAUCCUAGAAAGGUUAGUGACAAGAAUACCCGAAGGAAUAUUUCUACAAUUAUCUUAUAUGCUCAAUACACAAGGUAAUGUUGCAAGUAAUUAGAAGUUUAUGUUACGAUCUGAUAAGUGCUUGUUUUAGGACACUAAGCUUGUCCUUGGGAAACCAUCAAUUAACUCGACAAGAUCUGCAAUAUUUAUUAUAGACAUAUGCAUCGACAACCGCUCUUUUAAAGUUUUUAUAAAUAGAAAAGAAGAGAGGGUUGGAGAUCUCAAAUGUGGUGAUAGCACAUGAAUUUUUAAUGCCCUCUAGCCAUUGAUGUUGCUCUUCUCGAUCCUCCUUCUUAUACAUGGGAUGUCUAGAGAGAUUCAUAGGAUUAUCGGGAGGUUCAAGAGAAAGAGCAUAGUAGAGAUUAUUAGGCUCAAGGAUGGGUUGGAUAGCCAAAUCAUGGGAUUGGAAAGUUUGGAAAUCGGCUAUUGAAACUUCCUCUCCUUGUAUGGGAGAUGAUUCCUUCUCUAUCUCUAUGAUUUUUCUAUGAAGACUAGUACAAGAAGGAUGUCCACGAAUGAAGACAUACCUUCUGUUACUAACUGAUAAAGAAAGAAGGACUCUACCAAAGGUUAUAUGAUUAAGACCAAUGUGAAAAUAUCUAGGAAAAACAUGGUCUUGCAGGGCUAGGUCUAAACCAGAAUUUAUAGAAAGAUUAACAGAUUCCCUAGGUGUAGCUAAAAGUGCAUUAUCUUCUUGAUUAAAAGAUAGGACCUCGGCUAUAGAAAAGGGUUGGUUUUGACCUAUUGCAAUCAACUCCGGACACAGAUCAUAAUUAGGGGCAGGACGUGUUGACUCCCAUGGUCUAUGGCUGGUCUCCGAAGGUGCAAAGAAUUUAAUAAUAGUUAUGGAAUUUGAGAUAUCCAUAAAGAUAAAAAGAUAAAAGUAUAAAAGUAUAAAAGUAUAAUACAAGAUAAUAGCAAGACUCAAAGUUAUCUCAGCAAACCGUCUUUCUCCCCGGCAACGGCGCCAGAAAUGCUUGUUGAUAUUUGGUAACGCAAUAAGGAAAUGAUCCGCAAGCGCACGGAUAUCGGUGAGCAUUUCACCCGGGAGGUUUUCUAGAGUAUCGUAUUUAUAUUUUUACCACUGGGAGAAAGGGUGCAUCUGACUAACCAAAUCUAUUGCUACUAUCCCUUUAGGCUACAAAGAAUGUCUCUCGAUGUGAGUGAUAAAUAGAGAAGACUGCAACCGUAGUCUCCUUCUAACCUUGGUAAGGAUGAUCUACUGUUCUAAUGGGGAGGCUAACGGAAUCUAGACACCACAAAGGAUGUUCAACCCGCACCUAUAAACCCCAUCCUUCCUGCUAACAAGAUGUGAUCUGCAAAGGUAACUCGGAAUUGUCACGUUCCUCACUACUACCACGGUCCAGCUAGUCAGGGAAUAUCUAUGAGUACCCCAGCCUAAACACCACGUUUACGCCAGCAAUGAUUACUCUAAACUCUACGCGAAGAGAUUAAAGUAAACUCAUAAACCAUAAGAACAAUAAAACAAGAACUUACUAGAAUUUAGAAGUCGAAAUACUGAAGAAUCCUAGGAGCAAGCUUCGGGUUAGGAGAACUUGAUCCCGCAGGUACAAGCUUGGAGUAGACACCGACAGGCCGGGCUUCCUCCAAUCUACACCUCCACUCUAUCUCUCUCAAUCUAGUAGAAACUAGAAGAUCUAUUUCUACUUUACAUUGGUUGCUAAGCCUAAAAAGAAAUAUUAAUUAGAGAAGAGGUUUUCCUUCGAGGGCACCCCUCAAUCUCUAUGAUAAUUUCUUUUCUUCUCCAGGGCAGGGGGGUCUCCUUAUAUAGUCCUCCUCCUCUAUGCGUUUUUGGGUCGGUAAGCGAGGUGGUACUAUGUUUUCCUUGAUCCAAUAGGUCGGUGGAACGUCGUGUGCGAAGAGAGUCCCGAAGGGCUUCCAGAGGUGGGCGGGCGCCCAGGUCACCAGGGCGGGCGCCCUGGGCCUGGUCCCGAAGGGCUUCCUUCCCGUGGCUUCUGGAGUCUUCUAAAUGGUAGAAAAUUGCGCGGUGCGUUGAUAUCUCUAUGUAAUCCCGACAUGUGGGCCUUUCUUCCUUAUUUCCUGAUAACCCCUUGCAGAAAUAGACAAACACCAAAACUCGUGGAAUUCUGUCAGAUAAAACCCUAAGUCUAGAUGUUGAUUUCAUUUGGAUCCUUUUCUUUGUUUAUUUGCUAAUUAAAUUUGAUACUUAAGGACCGUCAACACCAGGCUGGUGGUUCGAGGGUUCCAAAGAAAUAUUAUCGAUGCAGAAAUUAUGGUUGGAGACCAUAUCGGAAAGCGAAUCUUUCUACCACGAAUUCCGUUAUGCCCCUCGGAUGACGAGAUGUUCCCGUUCCAGUUUAAGAGGAAGCAGUUUCCUAUUAGACUCAGUUUGUCCAUGACGAUUAACAAGGCACAGGGGCAAACUCUCCCCAAUGCUGGUGUGUAUUUGCCUAAACCAGUGUUCUCUCAUGGUCAGCUGUAUGUUGCGCUAUCUAGAGCCAUUGCCAGAUCAAACAUUAGAAUCCUUGCUAUCCCACCCAGUGAUAAGAAGGAUAAGAAAAAAACGACAAAAAUAAAUGUUGCAUACACGAAAAAUAUUGUCUACAAAGAUGUCCUCACUCUAUGAAAAGGUAUUGUCUUCUGUUUUGCACAACUCUUAUAUUCUUACAGUUAUAUCCUCCAUUACCAACACUUUUGUAUCUAUCUAAAUUUCAGGUAAUAGAGAAAGUCAUGAAGGAAUGAGAGAUAAGUAGUGUAUGAUGACGUGUUACUGACUAUAUGUACUUAUUAUAUUAUAAUAUACUUUCAAUAACUAUAUGUGAAUUUAUGUUUAAUUUGAAAUGUGAUGAUUGUUAUUUCUAACAUGCCUCUUCUUCUAUGGUUAAUAUUUAGCUUUAUGUCAAAUAAAUUGUUAGUGAAUGGAUGAGAUUUUAUAUAUUUGUUAUGAGAUUCUGUGUAUACCCGUAGCAACGCACGGACACUUAACUA